rnacentral:rRNA from 1 species
GAUGAACGCUGGCGGCGUGCCUAAUACAUGCAAGUCGAGCGAACGGACGAGAAGCUUGCUUCUCUGAUGUUAGCGGCGGACGGGUGAGUAACACGUGGAUAACCUACCUAUAAGACUGGGAUAACUUCGGGAAACCGGAGCUAAUACCGGAUAAUAUUUUGAACCGCAUGGUUCAAAAGUGAAAGACGGUCUUGCUGUCACUUAUAGAUGGAUCCGCGCUGCAUUAGCUAGUUGGUAAGGUAACGGCUUACCAAGGCAACGAUGCAUAGCCGACCUGAGAGGGUGAUCGGCCACACUGGAACUGAGACACGGUCCAGACUCCGACGGGAGGCAGCAGUAGGGAAUCUUCCGCAAUGGGCGAAAGCCUGACGGAGCAACGCCGCGUGAGUGAUGAAGGUCUUCGGAUCGUAAAACUCUGUUAUUAGGGAAGAACAUAUGUGUAAGUAACUGUGCACAUCUUGACGGUACCUAAUCAGAAAGCCACGGCUAACUACGUG